CUGAGUAAACAGGGCUUUAUAAUCUCUCCUCCCAUGGGCUGGUUUACUAAAUAGAUCAAUAUUUGGUUUGUAGGCACAGAGAUUAGGAGGUGGAAAUGUCUUUUGAAAAAGCCCAAUCUCUUCCCAGGGCCCUGAGUGCACCUGAGAAUGCUGAAAAGAAAAGCCAAGUUCACGGACAAAAAAAGAAUCACCCAAGCUGCUUUCACCUGCCUGCGAUUUCCCAGGAAGCCAGUUUGUCUUUAAGAAGUGAGACCCAUUUGAGAAUGAGUAAUGUCUUAGGCUCUUUAGUCUAAUGCUUAGAGAAUUCCACUUUCUUCUUUCGCUCGGCCUCCCCCUGAGCUCCCCUUUCUCUGUCCCCAACUCCAUUUUAUUUAAUCUUUCUAAAUGGAUAUUGUAGCCUCAGGGACUAAAAGAAUGACACAUGGAUAAACAGGAACUAAGCUCCUAAGCUUUUCCCCUACCUGCCAUCUUCCUCACCACGCAUGAGGAUUAGAAGCAUCACAAAGAAAGCAGUCUCGGAAGUUUGUCAAAUAGAGAUUUCUGGGUGAUGGUUUGGGAAAGGAUGAUUUAGAUCGUGCCUCUCCUGGGUCGGGAAAGUGACUGAAACACAUAACAGCAGAGAACUUGAAGUGCUGGUUUGAGCUUCAGGAGAUGUGAGUUCUAGCCCCAGUGCUGCCUGUGAUUUUCUCUGUGACCUGGGACAAGUCCCUUGUGGAUACGACAGGAUAUGCGGGCUACAGGGAUCUCUGAGGCUUCUCCCAGUGAACUUCUCUCAUAUUCUACAUCUUAAGACAAUGGAUAUAUUUUCUCAAACUGGUCAGACAGUUAAAGAGUCAUCUUACAGAUUAUAAAAUAUAUACAUGGCAAGAGAACCAGGACAAUGACUGACUAUGUGACUAUGACUAUGUGACUAUGACCGUAAGACACUAUGAAUGGCUCUUUCUUCCCUAAGCCUGCAUCUGGCUUCAGACCCUUCUCAGCAAGAAGCUCCAGAAAGCUACUAAUGAUUGAUCAAGAUUAAAUGCAACUUGAAAACGAUUUUCCAUCCUUGCUUUAGA
rnacentral:lncRNA from 1 species